UAGGCAAGUGCUCUAAUACAGAGUGGAAAGCCCAGCCCAAACUCUUUCAAUUUAAAUAUCCCACAUUAAAAGGAGAAAGGGAAACGCCAGCAUAGCUCGCCACCAUAGCUUGCCACCAGCCAUAAUCUGUAAGAUGACCACUGAAGAUCCAGCACAGAGAACUGCCAGGAAAAAAACAUGAAAUGCAUCAAGAGAUGCAGCCAGGACCAACAAAGUCACGUGAGAUGCAGGUCUCUGAUCGGCAAAGAGAGAUCUUUCACGGUGGGCAAAGGGCUACGAGGAACGAAUGCCUCAGAAACAGUUACUCUGCGGCUGGAGCAAAUGCUGUCCACAUUCCACAAGGCAGCCACACAGAGAGAAUCACAGUCUUCGGGAUCCCAUGCAAACCCAACAGAAGGGAGGGUUGCUUAUCACAGGAUCUACCAGAGCCAGGAGCUCAGUUUUCUACACUAGGGUAGUCCUGCCUGCGGAGAUGAACAUUUCCAGGAAGGCCCAACAUUAUCUUUAAGGGAAAUU